AAAAAGGAGUCCAGCUUAGUUCCUGUGUUGAAGCAAAUGUUUGUUGAAAUAAGUGGAGAUUUCCUGGUUUUCUUUAGUAGGAAAAAAGGAUGAAAAAAGGAAGGUUUCUUUAUUGGUUGAGCUCAGGGUGUUCUGUGAUUACACUACUUUCACUCUGCUGUGUUCUUUCUUUUUUUACUGUGUUCAGAUAAUGUUUUCUGUUCCAGUUACAGAGCCUGCCGGUGGGCUGUGUGUGGCUCUGUGUAGGGGCUUACUCUGACGGAACGGAACGUAGCUGGUAGGAUGUUCUGCAUGGGCUAAAGAUCAGAGCUCUGUAGAGCGGCUGGGCUGAGUGGCAUUAUGGAUAUUGGGCAGGGGAAUGACCGCAGACUGACAGUAGAAGGCCCUGCUCUCUCUGCCCAAAGGACAAGAAUAAUGUACCUCUGGCAGCCAAGUUUUACUGAAAUAACUACCGUAGCUGCAAAGGCCUUUGGUGAGGAUGACCAGAGCAGAGGCAGAGAGUUGAGUGAUGGAACGUCCCAUGUGGUCAGGAAGAUGUAUUCUCCACCUCUCCUCCAUCCUUCCAUCGCCCCAGCGCCUGGUUUACGGCUCAGAGCUGCUGUGUUACUGUGGCGACAGUGAAUCUACGAUCUCAGAAAUGCAGAGCACCCAAACAGUCUUGGCACUGGCCACAUUCAUUUUGUCAUGAAGCAUUUCUGUUUUAUUUUACCCUGUAAAAGUUUUAAUACAGGGGGAAUUUUAACAUUGGAUUAAUAUGUAAAUUUCCACUAGGCCCCUCUGUUCUGUUAUUGCUCAUAUGAUGCUUUUAUGAGUUUGAUUUUGAAAAUGAACAGAGCUUCUUUGGGAAUGAAAUGUAAUGCAUUACCUGGACAAAGAUUCAGCCCUCCAGAAGAGCUGAAUCAAACAAAUUACAUUCAUCGUGCCCUUGACAAUAUUUUCUGUCACCGUUUUGUAUGUUAUUCACAUGGUUUUUAACACAGACAGAGUGUACUUUCUGAAUAUUAUGCUGAAUAUUCUAUUUAAAUGUCUGUUAAUAAAAAAAUAAUGUUAGUA